CCUCGAGGACGACCUCAAGGAUGACUUCCACAAAGACCUCGAGGACGACCUCA
rnacentral:ncRNA from 1 species